UACCAGCACCCCGAGUGGUCGGGACGUUUAUUGGGCCUAAAGCAUCCGUAGCCGGUUCUGCAAGUCUUCCGUUAAAUCCACCUGCUUAACAGAUGGGCCGCGGAAGACACUAUAGAGCUAGGAGGCGGGAGAGGCAAGCGGUACUCGAUGGGUAGGGGUAAAAUCCGUUGAUCCAUUGAAGACCACCAGUGGCGAAGGCGGCUUGCCAGAACGCGCUUGACGGUGAGGGAUGAAAGCUGGGGGAGCAAACCGG
rnacentral:rRNA from 1 species